rnacentral:rRNA from 1 species
UACGUAGGGGGCUAGCGUUGUCCGGAAUCAUUGGGCGUAAAGCGCGUGUAGGCGGUCCGGUAAGUCCGCUGUGAAAGUCGAGGGCUCAACCCUCGAAUGCCGGUGGAUACUGUCGGGCUUGAGUACGGGAGAGGCGAGUGGAAUUCCUGGUGUAGCGGUGAAAUGCGCAGAUAUCAGGAGGAACACCAAUGGCGAAGGCAGCUCGCUGGAACGGUACUGACGCUGAGGCGCGAAAGCGUGGGGAGCAAACAGG